GCGGGUGUAGUUCAGUGGUAGAACGUCAGCCUUCCAAGCUGAAUGUCACCGGUUCGAGUCCGGUCACCCGCU
rnacentral:tRNA from 1 species